UUGGUGGAGCUCAUUCUUGGUAUAGAAUUUAUGUCCUUCACUAACUUAGUUUAGCUCAAGUUGGGAGGCUGAUGAAUUCAAAUACCUGAUAGGCAUAGGAGGAAGACAGAAUAGAUAGCACUUAUAUUCAGGGCAGUGUCACUCCAACAAUUAUGAGACAGACACAGUCCCAGAGGCCGUAAUGAUAUACUAGCCUAUAACUUGGAGCAAAGAAAAGAGCAGUUGGGGUCACAGAAGUGAGGCAGGGGGUUUGCUGAUGAUCAUGAACUGAGAAUAAAAAGCAUAACUCUAUCAGCAGGUCCCUUAAGGGAACGAUAAAUAGGAGAAAAAUUGGUGCGGAAUGCAAGAAUUUCUAACAGGCUAAGAAAUUAAAAUAGGAAGCCCUGAAGAAAUUGAUAAAAGGAUAAAAGAGCCCUUGUAUAUGGGGAGAAAAAUUAUUUUGAACUUUAUAUUCCCCAGAAACAUGGUGAUAAACCGUCUGCAGCAGUAUUUGUGUAUAUGUCCAGGAGAAUCAGAAAGGCCAUAACAAUCGAAGGGAGCAUGUUAAAAAUGGGAGUUCUUGGGUCCCACUCAAAACCAACUGAAAUAAAAACUGACAUGUGAAACCCAGACAUAUGUGCUUGAAGAUGCCUGCCCUGAGAUUCUGAUGUAUCAGAAAGUUUGAGAACCACUCAUGUUGUAAGAGAAUUUGCUGCCAUGUCGCAGGUAGAGCCUGUAAAUUUUAGAAUGCAGGAUUUCAACCACACUCACCCUGUCCAUUUGUAUCCAUGUCUUAUCCUUGCAGUGACAGCCAUUCAGUCAAAAGUACUGUGUUAAAGCUGUGGCUCCAAUAACUUUUCUAAUUGCUUAUUUGCAUUGUAAAUGAUUUAACAGUGCAACUAGUUUUGCAAGGACAAUGCCAUUGAAGUUGAUUUUAGAGAGUCUGGGAAAUUUCUGAGACUCAUGUAUUAAAGAUAACUUAUUUUUAUAAAAAUAACAUUCAGGCAUUUCUUUUUGCAUUUGAAUACUGAUUCAUUAUUCUUUUGUCCCUGGUGCAGGGGGCUUAAUGAGUCAAAUAAAACAAUAUGAGUUUGGAAAGACACACCACAUUUAAAGAUCUAGAUUAAAAUGCUGAAAUCUAUUUUUAAAAUUCCCUCAUAUCCACUCCUUUGUUUUUUAGUAUUAUCAAUCUGCAAGACUAAUAGUAUUUAUCAGUUGACAAUUGCAGGGUGAUCUACAGUUUACAAAUGAUCUCCAUAGCCUUGACCUGUUUGGUUUUCACAGUGGCCCUGGGAGGGGAAGCAGAGCAUGUAUUCUUGCACUGAACACAUCUACAGGGGAUCUGCUAUUGUUUUGGUGACUCUUCUAGGCUCUGAGGACACAACAGUGAGCAAAAUCAACCCACAGUUCAGGAGUCUGGACAAAAGAUUGUGAUUUGGAAGUCACCACCAUGAGGAUAUUUAAAGACAAUGAUCUGAACGAGGUCCUCAAAGAAGACUGUGGAUCCAAUAGACAAAACAUAGCAAGGGAUAAGAGGAUUUGAAAAAAAUCCCACAUGAAGUACGUAACUGGUAUAAUGUGUCCAAAUUGGUGGCUGACCACACAACCGGAAGAAGAUCCAAAUGACCCCCCUUCCUUUUCCCUUUUUCAGUAAGGCAACCUUAAAACUGAGUGGCCAGUUUAAAGCUGGACGGCUACAUGAGAAGGGGAGCUAUGGUGUUGUAUCAACCUACACUGGAAUGUGGAAGUGUAAAGGGCUUGGAUUUGCUCAGUAUGACCAUUUGGAAACAAAACUUCCUGAGAAAGAAAGUAUCAUAAUCUCUAACUAGACAGACCGAAACACAACCAAUGACAGGAGGCUCCUGAUCUGCCCUGCAUAACCAGCAGGAGGAGGAGGGAUGGAUGCAGACAUGACCUCAAUGUGGACCGAAACAGGAAGCUCUCCCCAGGUCUGGCAAGGGAAACACAAGAUGAAUAUACUGAAACAGCACUGCAAGAAUUAAUGUGUCCUGAAGUGAGGCCUUGGAAAUCAAAGCAACACAGCCCUGGGUCAUGAGGCAGACUGGAAUGGAUGGCUCUUCCUGAACAUUCUGGCCAUUCUGGGCAGCACUUAUCAUAUUGCCCUGAAGUUGUUUUUUCUGGCCUCCACUCUCAUGCAAGCCUUGGGAUGGAACACCAGCCCUCAGUCUUGCUGCCCUCCCCACUCUGUAAUAGCCCUGGUACAGAGUAGAUGACCCCAAGUGUUUGCUGAAUACACAGAGUGAUUUAGGAUUAAAGAUGUGUCCUCACAUGGAAAGGAAAUGGAGAGAAAAUCAAGAAAAGCAAGGAGAGAAUUCUUGCUUUUCAAGUGGCCUUAGUGUGUCAGAAGGCCAGCCAGGUGUAAGUCUAUAUCCUAUCCUGUGAGGCACAUAUUUCCAUUUUCACAGAGGACACUCAAGUUCAAAAGUUGAGCUAGUCACCCAAAAUCGACACAAUGAGUGACUAGCUAGGCCAGAAUUUGACAUCUUCUGUGUCUUAGGAUUCCACAUUUGGGCUCCUUCAGGUUACCAGUGCUGUGUAGGAUCUUUGUUUUGGGAAGCUACAUUUAUAGACCUUUUGGGCAUAACACUGAAUUUAUUGAAGUCCAGAGUGUCAGCAAUACAGUAUUAUGACCAUGACUUCCCAAUUAGGAAAAAAAAA